UUUUUUUGAAAAGAAACUUUCAUUCAAUCAAAAGAAACUGAAACAAGUCAGUACAUAGGGGUUUCUAACCACAUGUCAGAUCAAAGCUCUUUUAGCUAGAGAGUGAGCAAAUUUAUUACAACAUCUUGGAUUUGAAUCGAUUGGAACCCUGCCUUGCAUUCUUGGAUUUCUGAGAUAUUCCACAAGAUCUCCUUUCUGCUGCUGGUUUCAUUAUUGGCUAAAUUAACUACCUCCAUGCUAUUUGAACUGAGAGAAGAGUUAUGAUAUUUUAAGAAAAAUCAUAGCUGAACACCAGAACUACAAAAUGAAGACAGAAACGGCAGCCACUUGCUGCCGUUUUCAUUCACUUACCAUUUUCUCUUCAUUGGCUGGCCCCAAAAUUAUAUUAAAAUAUUAAUAAAAAAAGAAAACGAAAUCCCACCUUAUUUCUAAAUCAUGAAGAUAAGAUAUCAAAGUCACAUCUGAUUUGAAGAGAGUGCUCUGCCG
rnacentral:lncRNA from 1 species